rnacentral:hammerhead_ribozyme from 1 species
UUCCAGUUGACGAGUCCCAAAUAGGACGAAACUCGCGUUCUGGAU